CGAUAGUAUACAUCUCCUUGUAGAGAUCCGAGUCAAACCUGGUUAUUUUUUUGUCGACAUCAAGUGACUACUUUUCAGAUUGAUAUCCUGUGUGGUUUAAGAUUACACUAUGAAGCUGUUUGUGACUUUCACAGUUAUUGUAAUAUUCCUGGUUGCUGAUCACGUGGCACCCAAGCCUGAAGUUGCACAGGAACCCAAUGAUGAGUGCAUAUCUCGAUAUGACUUAAGAUACUGUGCGACAAGGUGUAGGGGUGACUGCUCGGGCAGUCCCCACCCUGCCUGUGCUGAGGGUCAGUUGUGCUGUAGCUGCCCGAUAUGAACAUUGAUUUGGAUUUUAAAGGUGUUUUGGAAGUUGCUAACAACGACUGGAAUCUCUUGUUGUAGAUAUCAAACGCUCAUUAGUAUAUUUAAAUUUUCUGUGAGUCCUAUUAAAAAAUAGAGGGAAAGAUAGUCGAAGUCAAAUGUAAAAUGUUCCUUGGCUUGUGUCGUUAUAAACGCGGCACUAAAUGUUUGUUCUGUUACAAUGACCCAUAAUAGCUCUGAAAUAAAUAAAGUACUCCAACCCUGUCCUAAAUCAAUAUGCUUUAAACUUUCCUCUUCUCGACAGGAAGGUCAUCCAGUUUAAAAUGUAUA